AGUAAGGUAAGCUAAAAUUAAGCUCUUGGGCCCAUACCCCAAAAAUGAAGAUUAAUUUCUUCCCUUAUCA
rnacentral:tRNA from 1 species